UUAGUAGCAAAUAUACUCUUCUUGGUAGAUCUACUGAGGGAGGAAGUGGAGGAUGCGAAAGAUUUUAUAAAAGAAAUGUGGUAUUUCAGAGAGAAGAAAUUCAAACAAACACAAACAAAGGAGGAAUAAAACAAGCAAGGGAGCUGUUUCAAAGGAAUAUUCCACCUACUACUACUACUGCUAUCCUAUGGAGAAAGUUGUUGAUAACGACUGUCAAAUUGUAGAACGUUUUGUGUCGCAGAAAAAAGUACGUUCGGAAAGAUGUCAUUAGACUUAACAAACGUGGGCCAUGUCUGAUAACUUGAUGGAGAAAAAUCCCUUCUUUUGACGAUGCUACCAAGGAAAAGGAGCUCAUAUAACUUUAGUUUUGACGAUACACAAAGGCAUGUCUAGAAGACUUCAGUGAGCUAACAGUCCACAAAAAUCAGGAGUGGUCGUAAAAUAUCCAACAUGAUCGUUCUACAGGAUUAGAUGGCCUUGGUAAAGUUGAGAAGAAUUUUUAACCUCCGAAUUUCUCUGGAAUGGUAUUUUACAAUACUUAAGGUAAAACAUAUAGUAUCAGUUAUGUAAUUGUAUUUGAAGCAGAUCAUGGAAAAGUUGUUUGAGUUUAGUUAAGAAUAAUUUGAAUGUAGUUGAGUCAUUUUAUUGAUAUGCUGGAUAUAAAUGUGUGAAUAAUUUUACCAAGAUCAAGUUCAUAGGUAUUAUGAAGUGGAUGGAAUACUAAUGUUAAAUUUUUGAGUUGCUUUAGUAGUCUCUUAAGUGAAACAGAAAGUGAAGCCCAAACUGAGAUUAUUUAUUGGAUAUGUGAAGAGGUCAUUUAUUUCAUAUGUGAAGAGUGAAAAAAGGUAAAAGUAGAACACUUAUGAAAAUCUGCAUUGGUGAAUUAUAUUUUGAGUUCUCAUGCAUAGUGUUUUGUUACUGCUACAUUCAAGGUAUAUCAUCAGUUGAAUGUUAGCAAAAUAUUUUCCACAUUCUUUUUCAUUAUUAGUCUUAAGUUGUUUCGAUGUUAGUGUAUACCAUGUGCUAGAAGUUAAUUAAAAGGUUUAUAGAAAUUCCAUUUGGUAGUAAACUUUAAAAGGGUGAAAUACUGAUAGAAAUCUAUUUCAGGUUUUGUUAUAACCAGCAUCAUGUGGUCAGAUACGUAUUGGAAGAGAACUUACGUCAGUUUUAAAGAAAUAUCUUAAGUAUUCCAACAAUUUGUAAGGAGUUUGUGGUAUACGUUUGGAAGAAUUGCUCUACCUGUAGAUUUUUACCCACACUGGUUCAAGCUGGUCAGAAAUUAAGGAAAAUAUGUAAAGUCAGUGAAUACUAUCUUAAAUAAUAAAAAGGCUCACUUUAUAUCAUUUAUUGGGUAAAACUGUGGUUGUCUGGUUAACCUAUGUAGGUAGAGGUGAUCUCUGCAGGAUAAUGGCUUUUAUGUGUCAGAAGUGUGGGACCAGUUUUAAUGAGGAGAGUGAACUUACCAUACAUACGUGUGUGGAAAGUGAGGUUACCACAGCUGGUACGAAAAAAAUCUCCCUAGUCUGUCAGAUAUGUGGCAAAGGGUUUUUAAAAAAAAGUAAGCUAACGAGACACAUGAGGACGCAUACAGGAGAAAAGCCUUUCUUGUGUCAGGAAUGUGGGAAGGGUUUUCGUCGUAAAGAACAACUUACCCUACAUAUACGAAUACACACAAAAGAAAAGCCAUGCAUGUGCCCAGUGUGUGGAAAAUGCUUCAGCCACAAUGGGCACGUUAAGAAGCAUUUGACAAGCCAUACAAAGGAGAGGAGAUUCUUUUGUCAGAUAUGUGAGAGAAGAUUUGGUCAAAAAGUUCACCUCACUGUGCAUAUGAGAACCCAUACGGGGGAAAAGCCGUUUGAGUGUCCCGAAUGUGGGAAAAGAUUCUGUCAGAAAGCCGAGCUGGGCUCACACAGAAGAUCACAUAUGAAAAUUCACAAUAAUGAGAAACCCUUCACUUGUGACGAAUGUGGUAAGAAAUAUAUUUGGAAAAAAUACUUUGUAAGACAUCUGGAAACACAUGAAAGGAAGAGGUUAAUGCAAUCUGAUCCUCCAGUGACAUUAGACAUGCAGUCUUCUGAGUUAGUAAACAGAGAAGAAAGUCCUUCUGACUUUGAGACUAAGAGUGAAAAAAGUUCAGAAAGUCAAGUUAAUGCAUCUGUGGGUAUGAAAAAUGGAGAGGAAAUGUAUCCUAUUGAAAAACUUGAAACUGUUUACAUUAAGGAGGAAAGUGUGUACAUUAAGGAGGAACCUUUCAACUGGACAGAGGAAGAGAAAGACAGUAACAUCUGUAUCAAGGAGGAACCUUUCAAUUGGGCAAUGAAGGGUGAUAAGAGUGUUAUAAAGGAGGAAUCUGUCAGUUGAACAGUGAAAGGGGUUUGCGUGAUGGAAAUUCAGGGCUUGGUCAACCUUCUGCUUGAUCUGGUGUUUAUAGAUGAAGUAAAUAACUUUAAAGAAUCCAGAUAAUGUUGACAAAGAUUUAGAUAUAUACUUAAAUGAUUUGUUUUUAUUUUUUAGGUUAAAUAUAUGUAAAACAAUGUUUACAUUAAAGAUUAAAUAAAAAUAUUGUAUUAACUAAGUUUAAAUAAGUUAAAUAAAUUGCUUGUUCUUUAAGCUGUUUAUUCACUUUUAUUGGAAGAUAACUCGUUUCUUUGACAGGUGUACCCCCUAGAUAUUAACCAUAGAUGUAAAUAGUACUGUACUUGUGAAAGUCAAAGGGAAUUUCACACAUUUUGUUUUUUUUUAUAAGAAGGUCAACAUCGUAGCUUCAUGGCAGAUUCUAUGUGUCAAAAUUGGUUGACUUUGGCUUUGAAGCCUGUAGGCAAGUGCCAACCAACAAGUUCAAAUUGAGCUUCCAGAUUUUGGAAUGAUAUGAACAUUUUGUAAUUUUGAAUUAUAGUCCUAAACAAC